CAUCGUUCUCCGUAACCUAUCUCACUCCUCGCCGUUCUCACGUUCUUCCUCCCUCCCGCCCUGCGACCUGCUAGUGCUCGAUCGAGAGAGAGAGGGCGACGGCGACGGCGAUCAGCCAUGGGCUACACGAAGGACCAGUUGCUCGCUCGUUUACAGGAGCUUCAGAUCGAGUUCUCAAAGUAUGAGCAUCCCGUCGUUUUGACUGUUGAAGCUCAGGAAAAAUAUGUUGGAAAUGUUGGUGCUUCACUCAGUAAGAACUUGUUCUUGAAGGACAAGAAACAAAGGUUCUACAUUGUCUCCGCUCUUGCAGAUACUAAAGCAGAUCUGAAAGUUCUGUCACAACGGCUUGGUUUGGGGAAAGGAGGUUUGAGAAUGGCACCGGAAGAAGCAUUAGGUGAGAUACUUCAGGUGCCUCUUGGUUGUGUGACUCCUUUUGCCUUAGUAAAUGAAUCGGCAAGACAUGUCUCGUUGCUGCUUGAUCAGGGAUUCAAGUCCCAACAGAGAUGCCUCUUUCAUCCGCUGUCAAAUGACAUAUCAAUAUCUCUUAAUACCUUCAGUCUUGACACAUUUCUGAAAUCAAUUGGAAGAGAUCCCUCAUAUGUUGAUCUUGAGGCUAACCCCAAAGUAGGCAAGGAUCAGCCACCCGAUUUGGCUGCUCUUGUUCCGUCUGACUCCAUUGUCUUGCCAGAACUUGCUGAAGCAGCACUUCCAUCAGAACAUUCCAAUGAGAAUCAUGCUGCAAUAGAUGCUAAGCCGAAGGCAGUUAAAGCCAAGGCUGUAAAGACACCUGCUGCUGCUGAAAAGGUCAAGGAUAAAUCUUCUACAGGAUUGCUUCCAUCCGUCUCCUUCACCGAUGCAGGGCAGUUUGUGGAAGAAAUUCUAGAUAGGACGUCAGCUAUAUUGCUUUCAGAGAUUCGGGAAGACACUCUUAAGCAACAUGGAGAACAUUUGGGAGCAGUGGUUUCGGAGACCAUCAGAAAGCGUCUGAGCUCUGAGUUGAAAAACCUCGCUAUUAUGUUCAAGAAUACUGCUUACACGGAAGGUUUUCAUGCCGGUACUCGUCACCAACCAAAGCGUCCGUGAGCUCAUCAGUUAGUCACUUUGAUGGUUUCCAGUCUUCGUUGACAUUGAAAUGUCAUUACCCCGAUGGUCACGAAAUGUAUGGCCGAUAAUGCAGCCUGAAAGAAUUAUUGCAUCGUGAAAGAUGUAGCAAGGUGGCUCACACAAGCAAUCAUGGCAUUUUGUGAGCUAAUCUUGUUUCCGUUGAUCUACACUGGGAUUGCAAUGUGUUCGAAUGA